CGAAGGGGGCUAGCGUUGUUCGGAUUUACUGGGCGUAAAGCGCACGUAGGCGGAUCGUUAAGUCGGGGGUGAAAUCCUGGAGCUCAACUCCAGAACUGCCUUCGAUACUGGCGAUCUCGAGUCCGGAAGAGGUGAGUGGAACUCCUAGUGUAGAGGUGGAAUUCGUAGAUAUUAGGAAGAACACCAGUGGCGAAGGCGGCUCACUGGUCCGGUACUGACGCUGAUGUGCGAAAGCGUGGGGAGCAAACAGGAUUAGAUACCCUGGUAGUCCACGCCGUAAACUAUGAGAGCUAGCCGUUGGAGGAUUUAUCCUUCAGUGGCGCAGCUAACGCAUUAAGCUCUCCGCCUGGGGAGUACGGUCGCAAGAUUA
rnacentral:rRNA from 1 species